UACGGAGGAUUCAAGCGUUAUACGGAUUUAUUGGGUUUAAAGGGUGCGUAGGCGGCCUUUUAAGUCAGCGGUGAAAGUCUGUGGCUCAACCAUAGAAUUGCCGUUGAAACUGGGGGGCUUGAGUAUGUUUGAGGCAGGCGGAAUGUAUGGUGUAGCGGUGAAAUGCUUAGAGAUCAUACAGAACACCGAUUGCGAAGGCAGCUUACCAAACUAUAUCUGACGUUGAGGCACGAAAGCGUGGGUAGCAAACAGG
rnacentral:rRNA from 1 species